UCCCUGAUGGUCCAGUGGUUAGGACUCUGCACUUUUAGCUUCCUGGCCUGGGUUCAGUCCCCAAUCAGGGAA
rnacentral:tRNA from 1 species